UCUGUCUUUUUUUUUUCCAUAUGAAGAAUUUCAUUGAUAACAUAGAAAGAUACAUGAUGAAACACUAAAUCCAGCAGAACACAUACGGAUCUCCGGAAACGAAAUCACAACAGUGGGAAACUUAAGCUCAAAAGGAUAGGACACGAGCAGCUAAACAAUCAAAUAAACCAUAACUACACCUUGCUAAGAGAAUCCAAGAAACAAGCUAACAAGAGAUAAUAGAACAAGAAUUUAAUUGACUAAGACUAGCCGGUCUUCUUGCUACGAACAGAGAGCAAGAGAGCACGCACCACAGAGGACUUCAAGAAGAAUAGCAGCACCCUCAUCUGAACUACUCGUUCACGAUGACUACACACAAACCACUUUGCGAAACCAAAAUAACACCCAAAGAGAAGCAACACCCGAUACAAAUUAAACCCCCUACUCAACAUACCCUUCAUCUGGACACUUCAAAGCCUUAACCUCUUUAGCUUCAACACACAGAAGCCACAGAGGAUAAACAAAUACCAAAGUGCGACCAGGAAAAUAACCUUAUUCAAGGGACAGAGAAGGACCCUUACCAACAGGGAGAUGGAGAGGUGUCCUAAAACCAGCUUCUCCUCGACCACAAUACCAACCAACUGCUCAUCCCACGUCACGCCGCUGCUUCACCGUAGCUGAAUCAAAGAUCAACUAAGAAAAACUCUACACUCCAAGCACAAUUAAUCGGAUUCAAACGCAGGCAAGAUGAUCAAAACAGAAACUGACGAAGAGGGACAUAGGGCUAAAACCCAGCAGAAUCCACCAUGAUAAAUCAACAACGAACUCCAACCCGCCGGUUCAGAACCACCAGAAUAACGAUUCACGAACUCUUCGACCCGGAACCUCUCCUUUGUUCAGAUCCGAAGCUACCCAGAAAACUGACCACACAAACUACAAUAGAAGAAGAAAACAUUCGGACUGGACCGACGGUGACGCUAACGGAGCCGUCACGCGCCGGCCAGAGGAGGAGCAAAGCCGGCGGCUGUAAGUUCAGGCAGAUGUGGUCGAGAAAAUAUUAGGUUUUUUUGGAUUGCUUUUAUAUCCGUCUAUCUUUCUCCAUCUUUCUCUAUUUAUGAUUUUUUUUCUAAAAAUCCCCGAUGGAGUAGCUCUUAGGCUUCUAUAAAAC
rnacentral:lncRNA from 1 species